GAUGAACGCUGGCGGCGUGCCUAAUACAUGCAAGUCGAGCGAACGGACGAGAAGCUUGCUUCUCUGAUGUUAGCGGCGGACGGGUGAGUAACACGUGGAUAACCUACCUAUAAGACUGGGAUAACUUCGGGAAACCGGAGCUAAUACCGGAUGAUAUUUUGAACCGCAUGGUUCAAAAGUGAAAGACGGUCUUGCUGUCACUUAUAGAUGGAUCCGCGCUGCAUUAGCUAGUUGGUAAGGUAACGGCUUACCAAGGCAACGAUCCAUAGCCGACCUGAGGGGGGGAUCGGCCACACUGGAACUAGGACACGGUCCAGACUCCUACGGGAGGCAGCAGUAGGGAAUCUUCCGCAAUGGGCGAAAGCCUGACGGAGCAACGCCGCGUGAGUGAUGAAGGUCUUCGGAUCGUAAAACUCUGUUAUUAGGGAAGAACAUAUGUGUAAGUAACUGUGCACAUCUUGACGGUACCUAAUCAGAAAGCCACGGCUAACUACGUG
rnacentral:rRNA from 1 species